rnacentral:snRNA from 1 species
CCGCAGAACAUAUGAGUGAGUAUAAUAAAAUUGGAACGACAUAGAGAAGAUUAGCAUGGCUCCUGCGCAAGGAUGACACAGUGGUAGUGGUAGUAGUAGGGAAUACCU